AACGAACGCUGGCGGCGCGCUUAACACAUGCAAGUCGAACGAGAAGGCGUAGCAAUACGCUUGUACAGUGGCGAACGGGUGAGUAAUACGUGGGCGACCUACCCUCGAGUGGGGAAUAACCCGCCGAAAGGCGGGCUAAUGCCGCGUACGCUUCCAUCUUUAUGGAGGUGGAAGGAAAGCCGUGCCGUGGGCACGGCGCUCAAGGAUGGGCUCACGUCCUAUCAGCUUGUUGGAGGGUAACGGCCUACCAAGGCUCCGACGGGUAGCUGGUCUGAGAGGACGAUCAGCCACACUGGGACUGAGACACGGCCCAGACUCCUACGGGAGGCAGCAGUGGGGAAUAUUGGACAAUGGGCGAAAGCCUGAUCCAGCAAUGCCGCGUGUGUGAAGA
rnacentral:rRNA from 1 species